GUCGAGCGGUAAGGCCCUUCGGGGUACACGAGCGGCGAACGGGUGAGUAACACGUGGGUGAUCUGCCCUGCACUUCGGGAUAAGCCUGGGAAACUGGGUCUAAUACCGGAUAUGACCUUCGGCUGCAUGGCUGAGGGUGGAAAGGUUUACUGGUGCAGGAUGGGCCCGCGGCCUAUCAGCUUGUUGGUGGGGUAAUGGCCUACCAAGGCGACGACGGGUAGCCGACCUGAGAGGGUGACCGGCCACACUGGGACUGAGACACGGCCCAGACUCCUACGGGAGGCAGCAGUGGGGAAUAUUGCACAAUGGGCGAAAGCCUGAUGCAGCGACGCCGCGUGAGGGAUGACGGCCUUCGGGUUGUAAACCUCUUUCAGCAGGGACGAAGCGAAAGUGACGGUACCUGCAGAAGAAGCACCGGCCAACUACGUGCCAGCAGCCGCGGUAAUACGUAGGGUGCAAGCGUUGUCCGGAAUUACUGGGCGUAAAGAGCUCGUAGGCGGUUUGUCGCGUCGUCUGUGAAAACUCGAGGCUCAACCUCGAGCUUGCAGGCGAUACGGGCAGACUUGAGUACUGCAGGGGAGACUGGAAUUCCUGGUGUAGCGGUGAAAUGCGCAGAUAUCAGAGGAACACCGGUGGCG
rnacentral:rRNA from 1 species